AAGUUGAUUGGGAAACUCAUCAAAUUUUUAUGAAAUGCCGAGACAAACCCGACGCGCGAUGGCGGGCCCCGGCGGUGAUUCCGAUUGCCGCAGCCGGAGAGGCUUUACAGCCCCGGCCAGGCGGAUUACAAAGCGCGGAGGGAGCUCAAAACCUGUCAUUCGGAGUUUCAUCGCAUCCUUUGAUGCGGCUUUUUU
rnacentral:sRNA from 1 species